rnacentral:rRNA from 2 species
GUGGGUAGUUUGACUGGGGCGGUCUCCUCCUAAAGAGUAACGGAGGAGCACGAAGGUUGGCUAAUCCUGGUCGGACAUCAGGAGGUUAGUGCAAUGGCAUAAGCCAGCUUGACUGCGAGCGUGACGGCGCGAGCAGGUGCGAAAGCAGGUCAUAGUGAUCCGGUGGUUCUGAAUGGAAGGGCCAUCGCUCAACGGAUAAAAGGUACUCCGGGGAUAACAGGCUGAUACCGCCCAAGAGUUCAUAUCGACGGCGGUGUUUGGCACCUCGAUGUCGGCUCAUCACAUCCUGGGGCUGAAGUAGGUCCCAAGGGUAUGGCUGUUCGCCAUUUAAAGUGGUACGCGAGCUGGGUUUAGAACGUCGUGAGACAGUUCGGUCCCUAUCUGCCGUGGGCGCUGGAGAACUGAGGGGGGCUGCUCCUAGUACGAGAGGACCGGAGUGGACGCAUCACUGGUGUUCGGGUUGUCAUGCCAAUGGCACUGCCCGGUAGCUAAAUGCGGAAGAGAUAAGUGCUGAAAGCAUCUAAGCACGAAACUUGCCCCGAGAUGAGUUCUCCCUGAGACUUAGAGUCUCCUGAAGGAACGUUGAAGACGACGACGUUGAUAGGCCGGGUGUGUAAGCGCAG